rnacentral:rRNA from 1 species
GACGAACGCUGGCGGCGUGCUUAACACAUGCAAGUCGAACGGAAAGGCCCUGCUUUUGUGGGGUGCUCGAGUGGCGAACGGGUGAGUAACACGUGAGUAACCUGCCCUUGACUUUGGGAUAACUUCAGGAAACUGGGGCUAAUACCGGAUAGGAGCUCCUGCUGCAUGGUGGGGGUUGGAAAGUUUCGGCGGUUGGGGAUGGACUCGCGGCUUAUCAGCUUGUUGGUGGGGUAGUGGCUUACCAAGGCUUUGACGGGUAGCCGGCCUGAGAGGGUGACCGGCCACAUUGGGACUGAGGUACGGCACAGACGCCUAAGGGAGGCAGCAGUGGGGAAUAUUGCACAAUGGGCGGAAGCCUGAUGAAGCAACGCCGCGUGCGGGAUGACGGCCUUCGGGUUGUAAACCGCUUUCGCCUGUGACGAAGCGUGAGUGACGGUAAUGGGUAAAGAAGCACCGGCUAACUACGUG